CGUACUGUUUUUCUGUCAUAAAUGACGCCAACAGUGCCGUGUAAAGUGUCCUGCGAUCAUCGAAUUUUGUCGAUUGGUAUAAACACGUGAUUAUAAUUACCUUCGCGAGUGAGUGACAUGAAGAAGCAAAGCUAACCAAAGGAAGACGAGAUCUCUAGAGGCAUCGGACGAUGGCAAAACAACGACAUGAGGUAUUCCUUGACGUUGGUGGAAGAGCUUACCUGAAGAGGAAACUAAAUAUCCCAACAACCCAUUGCAACCAAAACAAUUCAUUGCACGAGUCGAUAUCAAUAAUUAAUCAAAUGAUUUACUAUAGCGAGCACAUUCGAUGCAUUGAAUAUUAUAUCCGUUUGUUAUCAUGCCCAAAUGAUGCGUCACGUCUUAAUUAGUUCGGGAGUGUCGUAUCGCGUGUCCAUUUGUUAUCUUGCUACAGAUAGUUCGUCGUGUCUUAAUUAGUUCGGGAGUGCCGCAAAAUAUCGCGCGUCCAUCUUUAUCGUAUCAUAUAAUGAACAAUAAUGAAUUAUAUUUUCGCGAGUGCAACAAAUCUUAAUAAUUUGAGAGGAGAAGGAGACCUAGGAGAUGUCAGAUGAUGGCAACUUUGGGAUCAAUAUACAUAGCUUCAAUGUAGUUAAUUCUGCCGUUGUGCAUCCGAUUG